GUUAGGGCCUAAGCCCAAACCGGAUCCACAAAGACACAAGCCAAUACAGGAACAACGGAACCGGCGAUGGGAAACGAACCUGAAGGUGCAAACGGCGACCAAAAAUGCUCCUCACAAGAAUGCUUCUGUUUCAAAUCAGUACGCCCUUCUCCUUCGAUCACGGAAUGAGCUUCCUCGUGCGAUGACGGCGUUCUGAAAUAUCAUGAACGCAUGUGAAGGCGAUGCCUGCGCUUGCGCAAUCCCUCACAGACGCGAGAUCAGGGCUGAAGAAGAAGGUAUCACAAUCUUUUCUCCGACAUCAACGUCCAUAUCCAAGUGCGAUCCGGUCCACGCGUGUGAAAGCGAAGAGAACAAGAUUGAAGAUGAAGCAAAGAUCUCACCAGGAGGAGGCGUCGUGAACAAGUUUGUGAACGAUUCACAACAAACUCCGAUGAUGCGGCAAUGCGGUGGGUGUUGUAUUGGAUUGGUUGCAGUGGAAACGAUGGUUGGUUGAAGGUUUUGGUUGUGGAGGUUUAGUAGGUUGAAGAAGAAAGAGGAGGAAGAGUUUGUUAUUGGCGGUGGUUAGGAUUUGAAAAGAGAAGGGAAGCGCGCAUACCCCCAGUCGAAAAGAGAGCUUGCUUUUAUAGAGCAUUGUUGCUGCGUUUUGGUUCGACUCAAUGUCGUUUUAAUUUUGCGUUUUCCAAUUUAUGUUUAUGCAGCUACACUUGUUGUUUCAUGUACAGUUGGUGUAGUUGCAGUUCAUGGCUCUCGUUUGGUUUUGGCGCAGUUGUUUUUAUUUGGUUUUGCAUGUAGCUUAUUCAGGUGGUGUGCGUUUAGCAGUGGCGUUUCAGCUUGCGAUGCUGCAGCUUACAAGUUGUGGCUCAUGUCAUUUUCCACUUCUUUAUUGUCGUUUGGAAUGCCGUUUUGUGAGUAGUUUCUUGUUUGUAGCUGGCUUGGUGAAGUACCUUCCUGCUAUGGGUUUUGGUAGCUUUAGCAACUGUUUUGGCUUCUUGCCGUUUGGAUUGUUGUUGACUAAGCCGUGUUUUCAUGGCUUAUGCGUCACAUUUGCAUUGUAGCUUGUUGGCUUAUGCCUUUUGUAGCAUGCGCGUCUAUUGUAGCUCGUACGUGCAGCUUUUGGAGCUUUUGGAAGUGGCUCACGGAUAACUUGUUGUACUUCAUUUGCUUUUCACUUGCCUCUUUCCAAUUA